CGACGAUGGUGAUCGUCGGAGCAUCUCGAGGAGGUUUCCGGCAUCGAUUUAUCGGCGAAGAAGCUCUUCAUUAUCGAGGGCGUGAUUAUUUCACUGAGAAGUGUCAAUGGCGGGAAGAUAUGAAGGGGAUAAGGAAAGCCUUGUUAUCAAGCAUCUACUAGUCUUAAUCAGAACCGACAAGAGAUCCACCGCAUAUCUUCGCCGGUUUGCCACUUAGCAUUUGAUUCUCUCACAUUUUUUCCUCAUUUCUAUUGUCUACAUUACAGUGAGAAGGAUGAGGACAUCUCCGGCGACCAUUGCUUUGAUCCUAGGUACAAGGCAAGGCCUACCCCAGCGUUCACUCUUUUCAAUCUUAUCCAAAAUCUGUAGCAAGAUCACAACAGACUAUAUGUGGAGACAUGUCUAAUGUACUGCAUAUCACACUAGUCAAAGAUGCCAAGACGAAUAAACUUGUACAAUUCAGCGGUUUAAAUACCAUUUUAAAUAAUAAAUUAAUAUAGUGAACAAGAUUUCUGCUACAUAGUGAGAACUGAAGAGUAAUAUUGUCCUCUUUCAGACUCAACCCUUUUGAUGGAGGGAACAUUGAACCAUAAUUAGUGCUGAUGCUUAUGCAAAGUGAAUCAUAAUUAGUGGUGUUUAAUAAUAGAGGUUCAUUCUGAAACUCAAAUGAUGGUGUCUAGAGGAGCGUGAAGAUUCUUGAAACCACAAAGGAGUGCAAGUCAAAGAAAUCUUUUUAAUAUGGAUAAGGUGGGAGGAAGAGGUGGGCUUAGUGUGAUAACGUUUGGUCUGUUCCAAAAGCCAAACAGUACUUGUAAAGUCAAAAGUGGAAUCCACACAGUAACUAGUGCUUGAGAUUCAUAUCACAUACCCACCCAAGCACAUUCCAUUUCUCCAUCCUCAGUAGCUAAUUGGAUUCCAGGACACAAGGACAAGACCUCAUGUGGUCCUAUGCAUUCUUGACCUCUAGUGGCUGGAUUGGUUGAAGAUGGAAUAGUUUGUACAGUUUCAGUGGAUAUUCAUGUUUUCUAUUAUUAACCUUGAAUAUAAUUUGCUAAUUCAUCCAAACAAUCAAAUU